rnacentral:lncRNA from 12 species
UGAAAAACAUUUUAUGUUACAGAAAUCCAGACAUGGGGGCACCUUGGUGGCUCAGUGGUUGAGCAUUUGCCUUCAGCUCAGGUUGUGAUCCUGGGGUCAUGGAAUCUAGUCAUGCAUCAGGCUCUCCGCAGGGAGCCUGCUUCUCCCUUUGCUUAUGGCUCUGCCUCUCUCGGUGUGUCUCUCAUGACUAAAUAAAUAAAAUCUUUUUUUUUUUUUUUUAAAAGAAGGAAGUCCAGAGAUGUGUGUUGUAAUAUAACUUAUAUGUUCUUGGGUAGAACUCUUAUUCAUUCAUUUUUGGCUUGACCUUGGAAAUUCCAGAUGCUUACUGAUCUCAUAGUGUGAAAAUGAAAGAAGAAGACUCAAUGAGGUGUCUAGUGUAAGGGAGUGAUUCUUCUCUGCAAUGGCUGUCAGGGCAAGAAUAUGGAAGAAAUGAAAUUUUGGCUCUACAACUGGUUACCGUCACAUAAGGAUUCAUCUCAAGGGGUCUCCUAUUGAUGAUCUCAGCUCUUGCUCUCCACUUAUUCCCCUUUUCAGAUUUCUUUCAUCCUCCUAUGAUACACGGGUUUUCUGGAUGGCAGACAGUAGACAAGAUUAAAGUAAAAGACAAAAUAUAUCUUGAGUAUUUUGUCAGAAGAACAGACUUAUCCCUGCUUGUUGAACAUAAUAGGACUGGAAAGAGCUUUUAUAACUGGGCUCUGGUCAACCAUGGCAGGUAAGAAAGAUUUGGUGCUCGUGGUUGAUGCUGAAUCAUGCAUCAUCAGUUGUUUUCUUACAAUGAAAGGAAAUGGCAGUUUAUGAAUUCUAAAACAAAAUCACAGGGGAUUAAGGAAGAAAUGUCUGGCCAGGGGCUUUGGUUCUUAAAAAAUUAAAAUGUAAUUUAAAAAUAUUGUUAUCUUGUGUUGGCUCAGAUAAUUUUUAAAAAUUUUUUCCUCUUUUUAUAUAAGCAAUUCUCGAUUGUCCAUGAUAUUGGGGUCAAGGAAAACUUGGGAAACAAAUCCAAAGAUGGGAGUGUUUCAGUCCUUACUAGGCCUCAUUAAUCCUGCUUGUCUAGCAUUAGCCUCUGAACCUCACCUGGUAACAGUUGUAUUUCAUUUCUUUUUUACUUCUUUGUUCAUUUCCUGUUAAAGAUUAUGGUGGAUAAUAAAAUAGCCAGAAGAAUAGGGACA